rnacentral:rRNA from 1 species
GACGAACGCUGGCGGCGUGCUUAACACAUGCAAGUCGAACGGAAAGGCCCUGCUUUUGUGGGGUGCUCGAGUGGCGAACGGGUGAGUAACACGUGAGUAACCUGCCCUUGACUUUGGGAUAACUUCAGGAAACUGGGGCUAAUACCGGAUAGGAGCUCCUGCUGCAUGGUGGGGGUUGGAAAGUUUCGGCGGUUGGGGAUGGACUAGCGGCUUAUCAGCUUGUUGGUGGGGUAGUGGCUUACCAAGGCUUUGACGGGUAGCCGGCCUGAGAGGGUGACCGGCCACAUUGGGACUGAGAGACGGCCCAGACUCCUACGGGAGGCAGCAGGGGGGAAUAUUGCACAAUGGGCGGAAGCCUGAGGCAGCAACGCCGCGUGCGGGAUGACGGCCUUCGGGUUGUAAACCGCUUUCGCCUGUGACGAAGCGUGAGUGACGGUAAUGGGUAAAGAAGCACCGGCUAACUACGUG